rnacentral:rRNA from 1 species
UACAGAGGUCUCGAGCGUUAGGCGGAAUCACUGGGCUUAAAGCGUGUGUAGGUGGAUCGUUAAGUACCUUGUGAAAUCCCACGGCUUAGCCGUGGAACUGCUUGGUAUACUGGCGGUCUUGAGCCACUUAGGGGCUACCGGAACAAAUGGUGGAGCGGUGAAAUGCGUAGAUAUCAUUUGGAACGCCAAUGGUGAAAACAGGUAGCUGGGAGUGUGCUGACACUGAGACACGAAAGCCAGGGGAGCAAACGGG